UCGGCCGAUCGCCUUGAGUUUGAUCAUGGCUCAGAAUCAACGCUGGCGGCGUGCCUCAGACAUGCAAGUCGAACGAUUAAAGCUCCCUUCGGGGAGUGCAUAAAGUGGCGCACGGGUGAGUAACACGUAAGUAAUUUACCCUCGGGUGGGGAAUAACAUCGGGAAACCGAUGCUAAUACCGCAUAAUGCAGCGGCACCGCAAGGUGACAGUUGUUAAAGAUUUAUUGCCUGGGGAGGAGCUUGCGGCAGAUUAGCUUGUUGGUAAGGUAACGGCUUACCAAGGCUACGAUCUGUAUCCGGUCUAAGAGGACGGUCGGACACACUGACACUGAAUAACGGGUCAGACUCCUACGGGAGGCAGCAGUCGGGAAUUUUGGGCAAUGGGGGAAACCCUGACCCAGCAACGCCGCGUGAAGGAUGAAGUAUUUCGGUAUGUAAACUUCGAAAGAAUAGGAAGAAUUAAUGACGGUACUAUUUAUAAGGUCCGGCUAACUACGUGCCAGCAGCCGCGGUAAUACGUAGGGACCAAGCGUUGUUCGGAUUUACUGGGCGUAAAGGGCGCGUAGGCGGCGCGGUAAGUCACUUGUGAAAUCUCUGAGCUUAACUCAGAACGGCCAAGUGAUACUGCAGUGCUAGAGUGUGGAAGGGGCAAUCGGAAUUCUUGGUGUAGCGGUGAAAUGCGUAGAUAUCAAGAGGAACACCUGAGGUGAAGACGGGUUGCUGGGCCAACACUGACG
rnacentral:rRNA from 1 species